CGAGCGCAACCCUAUCAUUAGUUGCCAUCAGGUCAAGCUGGGGACGUCUAAUGAAACUGCCUACGCAAGUAGUGAGGAAGGUGGGAUGACGUCAAGUCAUCAUGGCCCUUACGGCCUGGGCUACACACGUGCUACAAUGGUCGGUACAAAGGGUUGCCAAGCCGCGAGGUGGAGCUAAUCCCAUAAAACCGAUCGUAGUCCGGAUCGCAGUCUGCAACUCGACUGCGUGAAGUCGGAAUCGCUAGUAAUCGUGAAUCAGAAUGUCACGGUGAAUACGUUCCCGGGCCUU
rnacentral:rRNA from 1 species